GAUGAACGCUGGCGGCGUGCUUAACACAUGCAAGUCGAACGGUGAAGCAGAGCUUGCUCUGUGGAUCAGUGGCGAACGGGUGAGUAACACGUGAGCAACCUGCCCUGGACUCUGGGAUAAGCGCUGGAAACGGCGUCUAAUACUGGAUACGAGACGUGGCCGCAUGGUCAACGUUUGGAAAGAUUUUUUGGUUCAGGAUGGGCUCGCGGCCUAUCAGCUUGUUGGUGAGGUAAUGGCUCACCAAGGCGUCGGCGGGUAGCCGGCCUGAGAGGGGGACCGGCCACACUGGGACUGAGACACGGCCCAGACACCUACGGGUGGCUGCAGUCGAGAAUCUUCGGCAAUGGGCGCAAGCCUGACCGAGCGACGCCGCGUGCGGGAUGAAGGCCUUCGGGUUGUAAACCGCUGUCGUAGGGGAGGAAGCGACCGUGAAGAACGGAAGUUGACCGAUCCUAGGAGGAAGGGCCGGCUAAUCUCGUGCCAGCCGCCGCCGUAACAC
rnacentral:rRNA from 1 species